rnacentral:misc_RNA from 1 species
GUGAAUCAUCGAAUUUUUGAACGCAAAUUGCACUCUCCUCGGAGAGGAUGCCUGUUUGAGGGUCAGCCUAUAAAAAAUCGACAUCGUUGCUGUUUCUCGCUGUCGUUCUGCGGAAAUGGGGUCAUCUUAAUUCUUUUGGGUUUAAGCGACUUAAAAUUUUCUUUUUUUUUCCAUGAACGUGUUUCUGAGAUUUAUUUCUUUAUACGUUUAAGUGAUCGUUUUU